CGCCUGUUUAUCAAAAACAUAGCUUGAAGAAAAUAUUUUAGGUGAAAUCUGCUCAAUGUAACUAUUUAAUAAAUAGCCGCGGUACUUUGACCGUGCUAAGGUAGCAUAAUAAGUUGGCUUUUAAAUGGGGUCGAGUAUGAAUGAAAAAACGUAGCUUAGCUGUCUCAAAAUUACUUUAUUGAAGUUACUGUAUAGAUGAAAAAGUCUAUUGAAAAAUAAAAGACGAGAAGACCCUUAGAAUUUAAAUGAAACUGAAAAUAUUUUCAGUAUAUUUUUGUUGGGGCGACAUAGAAACAGGAAGAUAACUUUCUGAAAAUGACAUGACGAUUUUUUUAAGGUUGAAUAAAUUACCUGAGGGAUAACAGCAUAAUUAUAAAAAUUAGUUUGUGACCUCGAUGUUGGACUAGGAAAUUGGUAGAAUUAGCCGUUUACCAAAUUGGUUCUGUUCGAACUGCUUUUCCUACGUGAUCUGAGUCAGACC
rnacentral:rRNA from 1 species